GUCGUAACAAGGUUUCCGUAGGUGAACCUGCGGAAGGAUCAUUACCAUAAUAUCCAUCCUUUCAUACAACCCAGCGAACCCCUCUGGGCGUCUUCUUCAUUGGAGCGCCCAUCGACUGCCUUCGGGCCGGCCGCGCAGAAGCUCCUAGAGUGGAUAUGCGGUCGGUUCCGUCCCCAGUCAUCCACACGCCAAUUCAUAAAACAAUACGGACGAACCAGCGAAUGCUGAACGCCGAAAGACUGCGAGCGACUGCUCUUGUAAAAGGGAGCGGACCUCCGGUUUUGACAAAAGCGAAAAUGUCAUACAACUCUUACCGGCGGAUGUCUUGGCUCCCACAACGAUGAAGAACGCAGCGAAAUGCGAUACGUAAUGCGAAUUGCAGAAUCCAGUGAAUCAUCAAACCUUUGAACGCAUCUUGCGCUUCCGGGAUAUGCCUGGGAGCAUGCGUGACGGAGUGCUUGUCACACCCCUCACCCCACGGUGUUCAUUCACCUGUGGCGGUGGAAUCUGCGGCUCGAGCCGGCUCUUUGAUGGCCGGCUCGUGGCGCCAAGUCAAGCUCUCGUCGCGCCGUCUCUUGACACUUCGGUUCGUCCGAGGCGGGGUAUCAGGCUUUCGAGCAUUUACCACCCGGCCGAGAAUUAUAAGUUCGCACUUCGCAAGGAGCGCGGGGAGGCGGCGGAGAGGACUCGUCCUGCGCCUUCGGGCAAAGGACACCGUCUCUAUAACCGGAGACACUCAUUUCUUGAGUCUCCGUUACGCAAGAAGACCCGCUGAAUUUAAGCAUAUAACUAAGCGGAGGAAAAGAAACUAACAAGGAUUCCCUCAGUAACGGCGAGUGAAGCGGGACCAGCCCAGAUUGUAAACUGGCCGCCACGGCGGUCGGGUUGUAGUCUACAGAGGCAAGACCAGGCGCGACCCGGGGAGAAGUCCCUUGGAACAGGGCAUCGGAGAGGGUGACAAUCCCGUCUGUGCCUCGGGUUAAGCCGUACGGUCUGUCUUCGACGAGUCGGUUUGCUUGGGACUGCAGACCAAACAGGUGGUAAAUUCCAUCUAAGGCUAAAUAUUGGUGGGAGACCGAUAGCGAAUAAGUACCGUGAGGGAGAGAUGCAAAGAACUUUGAAAAGAGAGUUAAAAAGGGCCUGAAACUGGUAAGAGGGAACCGAACCGCAGAAGUGGUGAUGUUCGCGCAUCUUCCGUCCGGCUGCUGCCGGGCGUACUUGUGCGCGAGCGUAGGUCAGCGUGGGUUGGGGCGUGGGAGUCGUUCCCGGUAGGUCUUCGGACACUCUGCCGGGUUCAGGCCGUGCCUAAGACCUUCGCUGACGAAAUUCUUCGGUUCAUCCCGUCUUGAAACACGGACCAAGGAGUCUAAUAUGCGAGCGAGUGCGUUGGUGGCAAACCAAAGCGCGUAAUGAAAGUGAGACUGGACAGAGGGGCAACCCGCAUGUUCAACCGGCCGUGCGUCUACGGGCAAGUGGUCUGAGUGUAGCUUGUAUAUUGGGACCCGAAAGAUGGUGAACUAUGCGUGAA
rnacentral:rRNA from 1 species